rnacentral:rRNA from 1 species
CUGGAUGGUAGUGUAUUGGACUACCAUGGCAGUCACGGGUAACGGAGAAUUAGGGUUCGAUUCCGGAGAGGGAGCCUGAGAAACGGCUACCACAUCUACGGAAGGCAGCAGGCGCGUAAAUUACCCAAUCCUGAUUCAGGGAGGUAGUGACAAGAAAUAACAACUCGGGCAUUUUUAAUGCUUCGAAUUUGCAAUGGGAACAAUCUAAAUCACUUAUCGAGGAACAAUUGGAGGGCAAGUCUGGUGCCAGCAGCCGCGGUAAUUCCAGCUCCAAUAGCGUAUAUUAAAGUUGUUGCAGUUAAAAAGCUCGUAGUUGAAUUUCUGAUUAUGAAUGUACUGGGUAACCGGUCCAUUUAUAGUCAUCCACAUGAGAACCUAUCUCGGCCUUCACUGGUCGGUUGGGGGAUCAUGUACUUUACUUUGAAAAAAUCAGAGUGUUUCAGGCAGGCGUUUGCAUGAAUACACAAGCAUGGAAUAAUGGAAUAGGACUAGGGUCCAUUUUAUUGGUUAUUGGACCAUAGUAAUGAUUAAUAGGGACAGUUGGGGGCAUUAGUAUUUAAUUGUCAGAGGUGAAAUUCUUGGAUUUAUUAAAGACUAACUUAUGCGAAAGCAUUUGCCAAGGAUGUUUUCAUUAAUCAAGAACGAAAGUUAGGGGAUCAAAGACGAUCAGAUACCGUC